rnacentral:rRNA from 1 species
AGCGAACGCUGGCGGCAGGCCUAACACAUGCAAGUCGAACGAACCUUUCGGGGUUAGUGGCGGACGGGUGAGUAACACGUGGGAACGUGCCUUUAGGUUCGGAAUAACUCAGGGAAACUUGUGCUAAUACCGAAUGUGCCCUUCGGGGGAAAGAUUAAUCGCCUUUAGAGCGGCCCGCGUCUGAUUAGCUAGUUGGUUGAGGUAAUGGCUCACCAAGGCGACGAUCAGUAGCUGGUCUGAGAGGAUGAUCAGCCACAUUGGGACUGAGACACGGCCCAAACUCUUACGGGAGGCAGCAGUGGGGAAUCUUGCGCAAUGGGCGAAAGCCUGACGCAGCCAUGCCGCGUGAAUGAUGAAGGUCUUAGGAUUGUAAAAUUCUUUCACCGGGGACGAUAAUGACGGUACCCGGAGAAGAAGCCCCGGCUAACUUCGUG